UACGUAGGUGGCAAGCGUUGUCCGGAUUUAUUGGGUUUAAAGGGUGCGUAGGCGGCCCUGUAAGUCAGUGGUGAAAUACGGCAGCUCAACUGUCGAGGUGCCAUUGAUACUGCAGGGCUUGAGUACAGACGAGGUAGGCGGAAUUGACGGUGUAGCGGUGAAAUGCUUAGAUAUCGUCAAGAACACCGAUAGCGAAGGCAGCUUACUAGACUGUAACUGACGCUGAGGCACGAAAGCCAGGGGAGCAAACGGG
rnacentral:rRNA from 1 species